UUACUGGUCGUCGAGAGUUGAAGAAUGUUCAACUUUGGAUAAAGCGCAGCGCUCAUCACUGUCACUUUUUACCCAGCCGUCCAAUCACAGUGGAGGAGGGGCGGGACUAAUACCACACCGACCAACUUUACAAGUAAACUGUGCUGCGGAUAUUCUGUAUCAUAGCAACGAAACGUCUCAACGGAAAAAACGCUGCGCUGCCAAAACGCUCUCAAGCGCCCACAGCUAGGCGUCU